CCCCUGGUGGUCCAGAGCUAAGACUCUACACUCUCAGUGCAGAGGGCCUGGGUUCGAUCCCUAGUCAGGGAA
rnacentral:tRNA from 1 species